rnacentral:rRNA from 1 species
CCCUUCGACGUCUGGGGCCGCACGCGUGCUACAGUGGUGGUGGUAACGCGCGUUCCGUGCUCGUAAGGUGUUCGGGAAUCGUCAAGCUCCCCCAUGCCGGGGAUCGCGGCUUGCAAUUGUGCCUCGUGAACCAGGAAUGCCUAGUAGUCGCGGGUCAUGACCUCGCGUCGACUGCGUCCCUGCCCUUUGUACACACCGCCCGUCGCACCUACCGAUUGGAUGGUCCGGUGAAGCCUCGGGAUUGUGGUUCUUGCCGCUUUAUUGUGGCGUGACCGCGAGAACUUGUCUAAACCUUAUCAUCUAGAGGAAGGUGAAGUCGUAACA